rnacentral:tRNA from 1 species
GCUGCGAUGGCCGAGUGGUUAAGGGCGUUGGACUCGAAAUCCAAUGGGAUAUUCCCGUGCAGGUUCGAAUCCUGUUCGCAGCG